UAAUCCCACAUUCCCACCGAUCCACAUUCCACCGCCUCUUUCUACCUUCCAGUUCCUUCCACAGCUUCAUUUUCCUCUCCCAGACUCAUUCUACUGCUUUUAUCGGCUCUCUCUCUCUCUCUCUCUCUCUCUCUCUCUCUCUCUCUCUCUCUCUCCCACCGUCAUUAUCUCAGCUUCUCCAUGGAUGGUCUGCGUUUUCUAGGUCGUCUUUGUCAUUCAUCGGCAACCUACUCCACUACUCUAUGCACCCAUGAGCGGUCCCUCUGUUUCCUUCACUGCAAUUCCUCUAAAUCUACCAAUGGUUGCUUUGGUAAGCAUCGAUUGAAUCAUUGAAAUCAUCUGUUCAAAAGUUGGCGACGGAAGGAGUUAAUUGCAACCGGUCGUUGUCUACCCACUCUAGAAAUCGACGUUUGUUGGCCUCAUCUAUCUGAGAGAAAUCGAGUUUCGCCAGAUGAAAGACGUACAAACACACUCCGUCUUUCAAUUUUGAACAACAAAUGGUAGGGGCUCCUGCCCUCUUGAUGUAGAGAUAUGCCGAAAUACAUGACAGAUCGAUCAGCAUAUGGUACCGGCCUUUUACAUUAGUUGCAGUGAUAUGAUCAACAAAUGCGAAGUAUUAACAAAAGAAAGAUCAUGUGCAGUGGAUGUACAACAUUUGGUAGUAGCUAUGAAGAAGGAAGAAAGAUAUUUGAACUUCAAAAAGAACAAACGUAGUUACUUAUCAAGGCUUUACAAUCGUUAUAUAUUCCAGAAUCCCGGUAAGUGUACUAAUUUCCAUUAAUAAUUUUGCUUUUUAACCACUUAAUCAUUCCAAAAAAUCAUGCAAAACUGUUUGCUUAAGGAAGAGGAGGAGAGAAAACGCCAUUUUUGUUUCCGUGAUGAUGAUUAGAAGGGCAUAUUAGGUAUUUCAUGCACAAGUUACCUGAAUCGGAUGUUGUUGGAUGAUGUUGGUAAGAAUAUCUUCUAACUUAGUGGGAGUUGUCUUUCUUAAUUGUUAAUGGACAGCUUAAAAACAUGCAGUUAAUGUUAGAAGAUUUGUAUCAUAGGUUUGGACUUCAAAGUAGUAGUGGGAGACGUUUUUAUACUUCACAAUACAUUCAUUCAUUCAUAUUAUGAUUUUUUUGUUAUGAUUUUUAUUUCGGUGUUUCCUGUAUCAUAUAAUAUGAAAAAGUGUGAAUUGUCUACAAAUGUACUUAGUUACAAUUUUAUACAGAAACUGCUAAUUCCUUAUCCUAAUAAGAAAAAAAUUGUCUCGGGGUUCGGUUCAUUCAUGUCGUCUUCAAUUGUUGUACUAUUUUUCUUUGUUUCUACCGUUUCCAUGGUCCGCCUCCUUCCACGAUGUGUUAUGUUGCACACCAAUUGUUUGAUUUAAGUACUCAAAGAAAUCAAGUCUUUUUUGAUCAACAACAGGGGAUGAUAAGCUUAUUUCCUACCCAUUCAGCUAUAAAUGACAUAAAAGAUUGGUCCACGCAGGUUACCGCGGGGAUUUAUGCUACCUACUUCCAAAAAAUAGACUAUAUGUAUAAUAACUCAUGUUAUUUUUUACCAGGCAUUAGUUAUAAUAAAUAUAAUACUUUAUUGAUGUUUUUGCAUUUUUAUAAGUAAUAAAAGUUGAAGUGAAUCAAUUAGUAGGUUGGAAAAGUGAAUAAAGAAGAAUAACAGAAAGCUCUAUAGGUUGGCUUUAACGGAAGUGGAGCAGGGAGCUUGCUGCUAAGAAAUUCCCUAUAAUAAGAAUGGGACAAUUGGAAGUGGAUCCAGUCCCACAAUAACUACCUUUUUCGUUUUAUUGUUAUUUUUGCAGUUUAAUAAUUACUUAUGAAUUAGAAUAUAUUUUAGUUUACUAUAUCAAUUAAUUUAUAUAUUUCAGUUAAAUUACAGGCGGUGGCUGAGGAGAUGAAAAGAUAAGCUAUACAAAAGAAAGUAGAAUGCACAUAUCUUUGGAAUUAAAGAAAAUGGCUUGCAGCAUGCUCUCUCAACGGGAAUCACAAAGAUAUCAACCCACACGGUACAUCAUUUGGGGUUCACAUUCUUGGUUUUAAAGUAAUAUUUAACUAUGGUUUUAGAGACCCAUUUUAACAUUUGUUUCUAUUGUAAUAUAAUAUUCCAUUCUUAGUUAUGCUAUAAUACAUUUUUAUUAGAUUAAUAUAGAAGCAGGGUUUGUUGGAGAUUA